rnacentral:rRNA from 1 species
UACGUAGGGCGCAAGCGUUGUCCGGAAUUAUUGGGCGUAAAGAGCUCGUAGGCGGUUUGUCGCGUCUGCCGUGAAAGUCCGGGGCUCAACUCCGGAUCUGCGGUCGAUACGGGCAUCACUGGAGUUCGGCAGGGGAGACUGGAAUUCCUGGUGUAGCGGUGAAAUGCGCAGAUAUCAGGAGGAACACCGGUGGCGAAGGCGGUUCUCUGGGCCUUACCUGACACUGAGGAGCGAAAGCGUGGGAGCGAACAGG